GAACAGGUUUUUAUAAAAACCAUUUUAAAAAAAAUAUUAAAAUGUAU
rfam:Rhodnius prolixus Rhodnius_prolixus-3.0.3-270.7, whole genome shotgun sequence.